AGGUCCUACGGGGCGCAGCAGUAGGGAAUCUUCCACAAUGGGCGAAAGCCUUAUGUAUCCCCUCCUCUUUUUUUAAUAAUUUCUUCUUAUCGUAAAACCCUUUUUUUAUAUAAUAAAUUUCUUGAGAGUAACUGUUCACAUUUCGACGGUAUCUAACCAGAAAGCCACGGCUAACUACGUGCCAGCAGCCGCGGUAAUACGUAGUUUUCAAUCGUUAUCCGGAUUUAUUGUGCUUAAAUUUAACUCAUUCUUUCUUUUAAUUCUUAUGUGAAAGCCUUCGGCUUAACCGGAGUAGUG
rnacentral:rRNA from 1 species